rfam:Bulleidia extructa W1219 contig00011, whole genome shotgun sequence.
GCACCGGUGGUGGAAUGGUAGACACGUACGCUUGAGGGGCGUAUGAGGUAACUCAUGCAAGUUCGAGUCUUGUUCGGUGCA